AUGCACGUGUUGGCGGUGGUCAUGGGCGGCGCCGCCGCGGCCAUCGGUUGCGUGGCGAUGGCGGCAUACCUGUACGUCCACAAGAGGAAUAAGAAGAGGAGGAAGGGGGAGACCAGCACCGGCGAGUGGCUGCCGGAGUACCGCUCUCCCGCCCCCCGCGGCGGCGGCAGGUCCUUCUCGCUGGCCGAGAUCAAGGCGGCGACCCGGAACUUCAGCGAGGCGCUGGUGGUCGGCGUGGGCAGGCGGGGGAAGGUGUUCCGCGGCGUCGUGGAUGGCGGCACCGCGGUGGCCAUCAAGCUGGCCGACCCGUCGACGGGCCGGAGCGCGCGCGAGUUCCGGGCGGAGAUCGAGGUGCUGUCCAACCUGCGGCACCGGCACCUCGUCCCGCUCCUCGGCUUCUGCUCGGACAAGGAGGAGACCAUCCUCGUGUACCGGUACAUGCCGCGCGGCACGCUGCGGGAGCACCUGCGCGGCAAGAGCGGCAAGCCGGUGAUGCCGUGGUGGCGCCGCCUCGACGCGUGCAUGGGCGCCGCGCGGGGCCUGCACUGCCUGCACGCCGGCGGCGUCGUCCACGGCGACGUCAAGACCACCACCAUCCUCCUCGACGAGAACUGGGUCGCCAAGCUCUCGGACUUUGGCCUCUCCAACUCCAAGCACGCCACGAUGGAGUCCGACGUCUACUCCUUAGGCGUCGUGCUCUUCGAGGCGCUCAUGGCGCGGCCGGCGCUGCCGCCAGGGGACCAGGCCGUCGGCCUCGCCGAGCACGCGCUCACAUGCCACCGGAACGGCACCCUGCCGGACGCCGUUGACGCGGCGAUCAAGGACCAGGUCGCGCCGGAAUGCCUUGAGAAGUUCGCUGAGACCGCCGUGGAGUGCCUCGCGCACCAAGGCACGGAGCGGCCGGCCAUGGGCGACGUGCUAUGGAACCUAGAGUUGUCCAUGCAGCUGCAGCUGAUUAAUCCCAAGAGGACGUAA
rnacentral:rRNA from 1 species